rnacentral:lncRNA from 1 species
AUGGAAGAGCAGGCUCAGAGCCUGAUCGACAAAACAAGUACAUUUCAGUGUCUUGUUCUGAUGCUCUUGAUGUGCCGCUGCAUUUCAACAAGGAAAGAUACCUCCUACUCCAUUCUCUGCUCCUCCUCCUGCAGGGGCAAUGAUCCCACCUCCCCCCAGUCUCCGUAAGUUUACAGUUUUUAUCUUAACAGCCAUAACUUAAGGGGGGGAGAUUAUCCUUUGAUUUUGUUAGAUUAUCUUACAGUUGACUUUUGAAUGCUUAUUGAAUGAAUAUAUAGGUAGUGAAAAAAACAACUUCAGUGGUAUCAUUUCUGAAAUAUCAUCAGAGUUGCCUUCUGAUCAGGUUAUUACUAGGAUAUUGUAUUUGUGACAUCCCAUGUGGAUCUGAGAAAUUCAGUGGAAAGGUCAGACUGUCUCUGUGAUUAGACGACCUAAAAUAUGAAAAGGUAUAGAUGAGUACAUUAAAUUAUUUACUGCUGUGAACCCCACACUGGAGGAUUAAAACUCUUCAGUCUUUAUUUUCUAACCCACCUGGCACCAAUAUAUAUUCCUUUGGAAAGACAAGAAUUGGACAAGAAUUGGACAGUUGAAAGUGGAGUGGAGAGUGGCCUCUCCUCUCUGUGAAGGUUUUUGUUUCUGAAUGACAGAAGAGUGAGUAACUAGGCUAUAAGUUUCAUUGAUCUCCUGGGAGGGCUUAGACUGUAAUUGAAUUCAAAAACCUAAACUUGGUCCUGUAAGUAACCAUGGAUAUGAACAUUGGAGUAGUCUGUUUAUAGUAGCUGCACACUAAUGUAACUAGACCACUAAUGUACUUACACCAUCCUGGGAACAGGUUAGGCCUUGCUUGAGUCACAACAGCUCUCAGGUCACCUCUCUGUCCUACUCUGUAUUUUGGCUAGCUGGCACCCAACUCCAUUAUUUUUAGUAGUGAAAUAAUCUAUACUAUUAAUGUACCAUAAUUAGCCUCACCAUUUUCAUAUUGUUGGACACUUAAGUUCCAAAUUGUUGUAAAUAAUUUCGUCAAGAAUAUCUCUACAUAUGUUUUUCAUAAUUUAAGUAUUUUCAUAAUUUAAGGAUUUUUCUUUUAAGGGUUUUAUUUAUUUAUUCAUGAGAGACACUGAGAAAGAGAGAGGCAGAGACACAGGCAGAGGAAGAAGCAGACUCCAUGCAGGGAGCCUGAUGAGGGACUCAAUCCUGGGAUUCCAGGAUCACACCCUGGGGUGAAGUUGGCACUAAACCGCUGAGCCACCCAGGGAUCCCCAUUUUCAUAUUUCUAAAGAAUAUUUUAAAUAUUUUGAUAUUUUGAAAAACAGAUCUGAAAUUAGGUACUUCUGGUUUUAGUUUGACAGGAACUCUAUAGAAGGCAUAAUUCUUAAUAAUUAUGCUUAGAAUAUUAAUAAUAAUUCUCAUAAUUCUUUUUAAAAAGGAAUUUAAAAAAUUAAAUUUUCGGGAUUUUUUUUUUUAACCUAGAGAACCUGACUUCAUUUUAUACUUCUGUCUAGACAGUCUUAUUCUUGUUUUUUAGACAUAAAGUGAUUAAAGUUUUGUGGCAUAUUGAUUUUUGUGGCUUUACUGUUAUAAAAGAAACCAUAAGAAGUCUAUUGUUCCAGAACUUGGACAGGACCAUGAAGCCCAACUAGUUUCAUAGAAGAGAAAAAAAAAAUUAAUAUGUAAGCCUAUCUUAACCUCCACCCUCGUUCGAUAUUCCAGCGGGUCCUCCUCGCCCUGGUAUGAUGCCAGCCCCCCAUAUGGGGGGCCCUCCCAUGAUGCCAAUGAUGGGCCCUCCUCCUCCUGGGAUGAUGCCAGUGGGACCUGGUGAGUUUGAAUCUCUUUCCUUUUAGGAUGCUCCAUUGUGUUUCAGUUCUCCAUUUAAAUGUAAUUCUUAAUUCAUUGUAAAUAAUAGGUUUAGUAUUAUUGCAACAAAUUAUAUUUGGUGAAUAUGUAAUGAUGAAAAUAAAUAAUUGUUUUAUCAGUAUAAUUGAAUGCUA